rnacentral:lncRNA from 1 species
CUCAUCUCACACUUCUGGUUUGCCACCUUUUGAAACAUUAUAUGGACAUCCUCCUGAUUAUUAUUUUCUUGAAAGUUUUUGGUUGUACGUAUUUUUUUCUUCGUCCUAAAGUAUAGUGUACCAAGUUAACUUCACGCUCUGCUAUUUGUGUGUUUUUAGGUUAUGGCGAGGAACAAAAAGGUUAUCGUUGUUUUGAUCCCAUUAGCCAAAAAUUGUAUGUCUCUCGUCAUGUUGUGUUCGUUGAGCAUAUUCCAUAAUUUUCUAUUCCUGAUCAUUCUCUAACAUGACUAAGUCUGAACUCAUUUGCAUUGAUCCAUUCUCUGAUGGUACAGAUAGUCCACUCUCUUAUACCCCCAUGCAUUAUAGAUAAUCAAUGCACUACAUGUACAAAUGCAAUGGAUCAAGAAGUCCUUGAUGUUCCCACUUUGUCUACAGCCUCCCAAGCACCUUCUGUGAUUGUCGAUCCUCCUCCACCCCCGAUGUCCUCAGCGUUCUAGUAAGUCUACCCAGUUACCAUAUUUCAGUUAUUCUUGCUAUUCAGAUUCCUUUAAUUGUUUUUUAACCUCUAUUCAUAACCUAUCCGAGCCCUUUUCGUAUAAAAAGGCUAUUCUUGAUCCUCUUUGGCAAGAGGCUAUGGCUGAGGAACUCUCUAUACUGCAUAAGACCGAUACUUGGGAUUUGGUUCCAUUACCACCUAGUAAACGUGCUGUUGGUUCUCGUUGGGUCUAUAAGAUAAAAACAAAAGAUGAUGGCUUGGUUGAGUGAUAUAAAGCUAGAUUAGUUGCUAAGGGUUUCAAUAAGGAGUAUGGUGUGGAUUAUGAGGGGACCUUUGCUCCUGUUGCAGAGAUGACUACUAUUCGUACACUGAUUGCUGCUACAUCUAUUCGUCGAUGGAAUAUCUCUCAGAUAGAUGUUAAAAAUGCUUUCUUGAAUGGAGAUCUUCACAAGGACGUUUAUAUGGUGUCCCCUCCUGGACAUUUGUGAACUUAAGAAGGUACUUUAUGGUCUCAAACAAGCACAUGGUGUUUGGUUUGAGAAGUUUUCUACUGUUAUUGCCUCUCUUGGUUUUUCAUCCAGUCAUCAUGAUUCUGCUCUCUUUGUUCAGUGCACAUCAGCAGGUUGUAUUUUCCUUUCUUUAUAUGUUGAUGACAUGAUUAUUUUUGGUGAUGAUAUUGAUGGCAUUGUUAUCUUGAAGUCAGAAUUAGAUCGUCAAUUUGAAAUGAAGGACUUGGGUCCCCUAUGUUACUUCUUGGGCAUAGGUUGUUUAUUCUCUUAAGGGUUAUCUUCUAUCUCAGUCUAAGUAUACAACCAAUGUCAUUGAACGUGCUCGUCUCAGUGAUACUUGAAUUGUUGAUACUCUUCUUGAGACUAAUGUUCGGCAUUCUCCCUCUGAUGGUGUACCUUUGACACAUCACACUUUAUAUCGUACUAUUGUUUAUUGCUUGGUAUAUUUUACUAUUACUUGUCCAGAUAUUACAUAUGUUGUAUACAUUGUCUUUUGGCUUGUUGGUUUCUUCUUCAUUUUGCUAUCACAAAUUGCGCAAGAUUGAGGAAUUGAAUGAAU